CCAGACUCCUACGGGAGGCAGCAGUGAGGAAUAUUGGUCAAUGGGCGGAAGCCUGAACCAGCCAAGUCGCGUGAGGGAAGAAGGCCCUGCGGGUCGCAGACCUCUUUGGACGGGGAGCAAGGCCGCCGACGUGUCGGCGGAAGGAGAGUACCCGUAGAACAAGCAUCGGCUAACUCCGUGCCAGCAGCCGCGGUAAUACGGAGGAUGCGAGCGUUAUCCGGAUUUAUUGGGUGUAAAGGGAGCGUAGGCGGUUAGAUAAGUCUGAUGUGAAAGCCCACAGCUUAACUGUGGGAUUGCAUUGGAAACUAUAGAACUAGAGUGUCGGAGAGGUAAGUGGAAUUCCUAGUGUAGCGGUGAAAUGCGUAGAUAUUAGGAGGAACACCAGUGGCGAAGGCGGCUUACUGGACGAUGACUGACGCUGAGGCUCGAAAGCGUGGGGAGCAAACAGGAUUAGAUACCCUGGUA
rnacentral:rRNA from 1 species